rnacentral:tRNA from 1 species
GUGGCCAUGGUGAAACGGUUAUCACAGCGGGUUGUGGUCCCGCUAUUACGGGUUCAAUUCCCGUUGGCCACCCCA